GAGCGGGGGAUAAUAUUGGGARACAGAUGCUAAUACUANAUAACAAUUUGAAUCGCAUGAUUCAAAUUUAAAAGAUGGCUUCGGCUAUCACUUUGGGAUGGACCUGCGGCGCAUUAGCUUGUUGGUAGGGUAACGGCCUACCAAGGCUGUGAUGCGUAGCCGAGUUGAGAGACUGAUCGGCCACAAUGGAACUGAGACACGGUCCAUACUCCUACGGGAGGCAGCAGUAGGGAAUCUUCCACAAUGGGCGCAAGCCUGAUGGAGCAACACCGCGUGAGUGAAGAAGGGUUUCGGCUCGUAAAGCUCUGUUGUUAGAGAAGAACGUGCGUGAGAGUAACUGUUCACGCAGUGACGGUAUCUAACCAGAAAGUCACGGCUAACUACGUGCCAGCAGCCGCGGUAAUACGUAGGUGGCAAGCGUUAUCCGGAUUUAUUGGGCGUAAAGCGAGCGCAGGCGGUUUGAUAAGUCUGAUGUGAAAGCCUUUGGCUUAACCAAAGAAGUGCAUCGGAAACUGUCAGACUUGAGUGCAGAAGAGGACAGUGGAACUCCAUGUGUAGCGGUGGAAUGCGUAGAUAUAUGGAAGAACACCAGUGGCGAAGGCGGCUGUCUGGUCUGCAACUGACGCUGAGGCUCGAAAGCAUGGGUAGCGAACAGGAUUAGAUACCCUGGUAGUCCAUGCCGUAAACGAUGAGUGCUAGGUGUUGGAGGGUUUCCGCCCUUCAGUGCCGCAGCUAACGCAUUAAGCACUCCGCCUGGGGAGUACGACCGCAAGGUUGAAACUCAAAGGAAUUGACGGGGGCCCGCACAAGCGGUGGAGCAUGUGGUUUAAUUCGAAGCUACGCGAAGAACCUUACCAGGUCUUGACAUCUUGCGCCAACCCUAGAGAUAGGGCGUUUCCUUCGGGAACGCAAUGACAGGUGGUGCAUGGUCGUCGUCAGCUCGUGUCGUGAGAUGUUGGGUUAAGUCCCGCAACGAGCGCAACCCUUGUUACUAGUUGCCAGCAUUCAGUUGGGCACUCUAGUGAGACUGCCGGUGACAAACCGGAGGAAGGUGGGGACGACGUCAGAUCAUCAUGCCCCUUAUGACCUGGGCUACACACGUGCUACAAUGGACGGUACAACGAGUCGCGAACUCGCGAGGGCAAGCUAAUCUCUUAAAACCGUUCUCAGUUCGGACUGCAGGCUGCAAUAUAG
rnacentral:rRNA from 1 species